AGUGAACGCUGGCGGCGUGCUUAACACAUGCAAGUCGAACGAGAACGGGAUAUAGCUUGCUAUAUUUGUCAGCUAAGUGGCGCACGGGUGAGUAAUGUAUAGAUAACCUGCCCUCUAGAAAGCAAUAACAGUUGGAAACGACUGCUAAUGCCCUAUAUGCCUUUAAUACAUAAGGAUGCAAGGGAAACGCUUUAGUGCUAGAGGAUGGGUCUGUAUGGUAUCAGCUUGUUGGUGAGGUAAUGGCUCACCAAGGCUAUGACGCCUAACUGGUUUGAGAGGAUGAUCAGUCACACUGGAACUGAGACACGGUCCAGACUCCUACGGGAGGCAGCAGUGGGGAAUAUUGCACAAUGGACGAAAGUCUGAUGCAGCAACGCCGCGUGGAGGAUGACACAUUUCGGUGCGUAAACUCCUUUUAUAUAGGAAGAUAAUGACGGUACUAUAUGAAUAAGCACCGGCUAACUCCGUGCCAGCAGCCGCGGUAA
rnacentral:rRNA from 1 species